GAGGCCGUGAGUCACCAUAGAUCCCUAUGGGACCCCCAUAGACCCCUAUAGGACCGCCCUUCUCCUAUAGACUCCUAUAGGUCCACCCCGCCCCAAUAGACCCCUAUAGAUCCCUAUAGGACUCCUGUAGGACCCUCCCGCCCCCACAGACCCCUAUAGGACCCCAUAGAUCCCUAUAGAACCCCCAUAGACCCUUAUGGAACCCCCAUAGACCCCUCUAGGACCCCCCUGCCCCCAUAGACCCCUAUAGGACCCCAUAGAUUCCUAUAGGACCCCCAUAGACCAUUAUGGGACCCCCAUAGACCCCUAUAGGACCCCAUAGAUCCCUAUAGGACCCCCAUAGACCCUUAUGGAACCCCCAGGACCAUAGGAAAAUAUGGGUCCUGGGGGGGAUAACGUGGGUGAGGGUGGAAAUAGGGUCUGGGGGCUUGGGGGCUUAGAACUGGGGGAACAACAUGGGUUGGGGGGCAGAACGGGGGCUUCAAGAAAGACAUUGUCAGGUUGGAGGCUGAACCAAAGGGACCUUAAAGUGCUCAUUCCUUGGGGGUCCACAUUAGGACCCAUUGGGGGUCCACGUUGGGCGCCCCCAGCCCUUUUUUGUGUCCCCCCCCCCGUUGGGCUGCGCUCCCUGCAAUGUCCAUGGCCGCCAGCAGUGCGCUAUAGCGCUGCGGCCGCCUGCAGUACCGGGGGCGUCCGCUGGGGGCGCUGUAACGGGGCGUCAAUGGCGUCUAUGUUUAAAGCGUGUGAUCCGGUCCGGUCCCGGUUCGGUUCCGGUUCGGUCCGCAGGAGGUUCGGGCGGCCGGAGGGAGGUGGCGUUCAGCUGCAGGUCGUAGAGGCCGCGCGACGUUUAGCGGCAGCCCGGGGCUGCCCCGAGCAGCGACGGCGCCGGCAGCGGCUGCAGGGAGAGGCGGCUCAAAGGCUGCGGCAGCUCCGGGCACAGCUGGACGAGAACGGCUCCGUGUGUGAGCUGCCCCCAUUGGAGAACGGGUGGGUCUGCUGUGUUCCCAUGGGCCCCAAUUGGGGGGGGGUGCUCUAAUUCCUAUUCGUUCUCUAUUCCCCCCCCCACUAGGUUCCCCCCGAAGCCCCCCCUGAGUGGGGCCGGACCGCCCCUCCCCCUCGGUCCGGCCCCCAUGCGGGCAGCCUCGCCGCAGACCUCCCCCCCUGGAGCUCGAGAGAGCCCCCCCCGGGGGGCCAGCCGCCGCAAUUCACUCGCCAGCCGCAGCCAGGUGAGACCCCCCCAAUAAAAACCCCCCUUAUAUCUAUGAAGCCCCUUCC
rnacentral:lncRNA from 1 species